GGUCAUGCAUGUCUAGUAUAAGCAAUUAUACAGCGAAACUGCGAAUGGCUCAUUAUAUAAGUUAUCGUUUAUUUGAUAGUACCUUACUACUUGGAUAACCGUGGUAAUUCUAGAGCUAAUACAUGCUAAAAAUCCCGACUUCGGAAGGGAUGUAUUUAUUAGAUUAAAAACCAAUGCCCUCUGGGCUCUCUGGUGAUUCAUGAUAACUUCUCGAAUCGCAUGGCCUUGCGCCGGCGAUGGUUCAUUCAAAUUUCUUCCCUAUCAACUUUCGAUGUUUGGGUAUUGGCCAAACAUGGUCGCAACGGGUAACGGAGGGUUAGGGCUCGACCCCGGAGAAGGAGCCUGAGAAACGGCUACUACAUCCAAGGAAGGCAGCAGGCGCGCAAAUUACCCAAUCCCGACACGGGGAGGUAGUGACAAUAAAUACUGAUACAGGGCUCUUUCGGGUCUUGUAAUUGGAAUGAGUACAAUUUAAAUCCCUUAACGAGGAACAAUUGGAGGGCAAGUCUGGUGCCAGCAGCCGCGGUAAUUCCAGCUCCAAUAGCGUAUAUUAAAGUUGUUGUGGUUAAAAAGCUCGUAGUUGAACCUUGGGCCUGGCUGGCCGGUCCGCCUCACCGCGUGUACUGGUCCGGCCGGGCCUUUCCCUCUGUGGAACCUCAUGCCCUUCACUGGGCGUGACGGGGAAACAGGACUUUUACUGUGAAAAAAUUAGAGUGCUCCAGGCAGGCCUAUGCUCGAAUACAUUAGCAUGGAAUAAUGAAAUAGGACGUGCGGUUCUAUUUUGUUGGUUUCUAGGACCGCCGUAAUGAUUAAUAGGGACAGUCGGGGGCAUCAGUAUUCAAUUGUCAGAGGUGAAAUUCUUGGAUUUAUUGAAGACUAACUACUGCGAAAGCAUUUGCCAAGGAUGUUUUCAUUAAUCAGGAACGAAAGUUAGGGGAUCGAAGACGAUCAGAUACCGUCGUAGUCUUAACCAUAAACUAUGCCGACUAGGGAUCGGACGAUGUAAAUAAUUGACUCGUUCGGCACCUUACGAGAAAUCA
rnacentral:rRNA from 1 species